rnacentral:lncRNA from 1 species
CCCAUUCUGUGGGCUAAACAGUAUGACAGACAACCCCCCCACCCCCAGUAUAUAGUGGGAGCCAGGCAUUAGGGUAGGAAGCGAGGUGCUAGGUAUGAGGAAGCCAACAGCCCCAGUCCUCUGCCUGACUUGUAGAUGGAGAGCAACUCUGGGCAGAGGUCUUGAAGGCUGGGGCUGUGUUGGACAGCAACCAUACAGUGGGUGUCCUGGCCAGCACCCAUCACCCUGAAGGUCCCUCAGAGGCCUGGAGAACCACUGUCCUGAUCUACACUAGUGAUGACACCCACAUACACCCUAACGACAGUAUCCCUGUUAUUCUUCAUCUGCGUGGAGUACCUCCUGGCUUGGGACCCAGUGGCUGAGGCACCGCGCCCAUUUCCUGCUAGGGGCCGCCUGACCCUGUACCGUAAACUUCCAGUGCCAUCUCUCAUGCUGGUUCAUUUAUGCGCACGCCCCUUGGAGCCACCAGGGCAGGUCAGCCGGCUCCGUGCACUGCCCCUGACACGUGGGCAGCUGGUUCUGGUCUGGUCGGAUGAGCAUGUGGGCUCCAAGUGCCUGUGGACAUAUGAGAUCCAGUUUUCCCAGAAGGGUGAAGUAUAUGCCCCAAUCAACAGGAGGCCGUCUACUUUUAACCUAUUUGUGUUCAGCCCCGACACAGCUGUGGUCUCUGGCUUCUACCGAGUGCGAGCAGUGGACUACUGGGCCCGGCCGGGCCCCUUCUCCGACCCUGUGACUUACCUGGAUACCCCUGCCUCCUGAAAACCACUGACUCCCAGAGACUGGUGAAAGGAGUCAGCCAGGAUGAGCUAGACUGCCAUCAACUAAGCAGCUGACUAGUAGCUUCUUUUGUUGUCCCCCUAUUUCCUUUAAGGUGUCUUUCUCUACCUCAGACUUGGGGUCAGCCUUUGUGGAUGAGCACUUUACUGGCCCACUUGGAGUGACCUUUGCCCACCUUCCUCCUGGGGAGAUGGCUCAGUGGGUAAAGUGCUUGCUGUGCAGGCACGAGGACUUGUGUUCAGAGAUCUAGCACUCAUGUAAAGUAGGGCAUGGCAAUAUAUGCCUAGUGCCCUAGUGUUGGUGGAAGGGACAGGGACAGGCCAGAGCUCACUGGCCAUCUAGUCUACCCGAAACUGCAAGUUCCGGGUUCAGUAAGAAACCCUGUUUUAGAAAAAUCAAGUAGAGAGCUUGGUGUACACGUGCGCACACACACGCACACAAACACACACAUGCACACACAUACAUCACACCAUGCACGCAGUCUGAAUUCUGUAAUUAAAAAAUAAAUGCAAACACGUCUUUCUGAAAUACAAUUGCAUAGAGUAAACAUUUCCAACAGGUCAAAUAAAUGACAGGGGAGGAUUUAAAUGAAACAAGACCAAAACACGGCAAGACAAACAUUAAAUCCUGCAGAUCCAUUCUCAGCACUGGGGCACAUGUUAUUGUGAUAUGAGCUCUAACGUGCUGGACAGUCUGUGUCUGUGGUGUGUCAUUUUCAGCCCCUCUGACCUUUCUCCUAGGCUGGUGUCUUAGGCGUUCUAUUGAUGUGAUAAAACAUGAUGAGCUUAAGCAGCUGGAGUAGAAAAGCAUUUAUUGUACUCUUAUUUCUACAUUAUAGUCUAUCAUCGAAGGAAGUCAGGCAGGAGCUUGGAGGCAGGAAGUCAUGUAGAGGCCAUGGCUGCUCACUCUCAAGGGCUCGCUCAGACUAUGUUCUUACACACUCCAGGAUCACCAACCAAAGGGCAGGCCCCACCCACAAUGGUCUGGACCCUCCCACAUCAACCUAAUUAAGAAAACAGGCUCACCCAUAGGUCAGUCCUGUUGGGGCAUUUUUCUCAACUGAGGUUCCUUCUUCCCAAAUGACUGUAGCUUGUCACAAAUUGAAAUAAAACCAUCCCAACCAUGCCACACAUU